rnacentral:rRNA from 1 species
AUGAAGGCCCUGCGCAUACUCUCAGGGAUUGAAAUCGCUGGGGGGUCUGCGGACUUUCAUCAUUUGACCGAGCUGAGGAAGCUUGCCAUCUACAAGCUUAAAGCCACGAAGAAUGAUCCGAGUUUCAAAGAGUUGAGCUCUUCUAUUGAGUACCUUGGUGGCUACUCUCUACAAACCCUGGUGAUUGACGACGAGUCAUCCGAGUUUAUUAAAUCACUGGAUGAUCUGUCAUCCCCUCCGAAAUUCCUUGUUGCCCUUGAGUUAUCUGGCAAGAUAGUUAAGCUCCCCUGCUGGAUCAAACAACUCAGUUCUCUCAAGAAGUUAACCCUUUCAAUAACAGCUCUCCGGACGGAUAACUUGAAGCAGCUUAGUGAUCUGGAGGCGCUGUUUUCUCUCACCUUUUCCUUUUCGUUUAGAGCAGAAAAACAGGACCCAGAAACACUGACCAUUCUUGCAAAAAACAAGCUGUUGCCCUGCUGCGGAGGGGAGAUCACAGUCCCAGAUGGAGGAUUUAAGAGCCUUAAACUCCUUUGCUUCUCUGCUCCUCUCCUGCCAUCACUCAUCUUCUCAGGACAAGCCAUGCCAGAGCUGGAAAGGCUUGAGCUACGGUUUAACAUACUGGAGGGGCUCUUUGGUGCAGAAAACGUUGCAAAGCUCAAAGAGGUGCAUUUGACGUUGGAUGACAAGGCUGGGGAAGGAAUAACCACAGAGAUAGUAAGCGAGAUGGAGAGCGCAAUGAAGAGGACCGGUGGCAAGACGCCGCAGAUAAUCCUUCAUCAGUGA